AUGUACUGCCAGAUUCAUCUAAAUGUCUAUCAUGUCCAGAUUUACUUUGCUUCUGUUACUGCCAGACUUUUCUAUUCACAAUUCAGUUUCUCCCAACCAACCAGUCUUCACUUCAAAAGGGCCACACUGCAACCUCAGCUAAACUCCAUGAGCUCAGGAGUAGGGCUUGACCAGGCAUGGUGGAUCACCGGAGGUCAGUAGUUCAAGACCAGCCUGGCCAACAUGGUGAAACCCCACCUCUGCUAAAAAUUGUGUGUAUCUUUGUGUGUCUUGUUUAUGUAUGCUAAGGGAGUAUUUUCACAAAGUUCAAAACAGCCACAAUAAUCAGAGAUGGAGCAAACCAAUGCCAUCCAGUCUUUAUGCAAAUGAAACACUGCAAAGGGAAGCAGAUUCUGUAUAUGUAACUACCCACCAAGAGCACAUGGGUAGCAGGGAAGAAGUAAAAAUAAAGAAGGAGAAUACUGGAAGAUAAUGCAUGAAAUGAAGGGACUAGUUAAGGAUUAAGAAAAUAGCAAAAGACAUUAAAUAUACUAACAUAGCUAUGGAAGAAUUGAGGGUGAGCAUCCAAGACUGAUGAGGUCUUAACAAAAACCAGUGUAGCAAAAAAAAAAAAAAAAAAAUCCUAAAAAC